rnacentral:rRNA from 1 species
CAAUAGCGUAUAUUAAAGUUGUUGCAGUUAAAAAGCUCGUAGUUGGAUUUCUGAAUCGAAUGUCCGGUCGGCUUACUAAGUAAGCACGUACAGGUGAUAUUUGUUUCAUUUUUUGUGAGGAAAUUUAUCUGUCAUUAAGUUGAUGGGUUUACGGACUUGCAUCGUUUACUGUGAAAAAAUUAGAGUGUUUAAAGCAGGCGUUUGCCUUGAAUACAUUAGCAUGGAAUAAUAAGAUAUGACUUUGGUGGUCUAUUUUGUUGGUUUGCACACCAGAGUAAUGAUUAAUAGGGACAGUUGGGGGUAUUCAUAUUUCAGCGUCAGAGGUGAAAUUCUUAGAUCGCUGAAAGAUGAGCUUAGGCGAAAGCAUUUACCAAGGAUGUUUUCAUUAA